UACAGAGGGGGCAAGCGUUGUUCGGAAUUACUGGGCGUAAAGGGCGCGUAGGCGGCCUUCUAAGUCGAACGCGAAAUCCCCGGGCUCAACCCGGGAACUGCGUCCGAUACUGGGAGGCUUGAAUCCGGGAGAGGGAUGCGGAAUUCCAGGUGUAGCGGUGAAAUGCGUAGAUAUCUGGAGGAACACCGGUGGCGAAGGCGGCAUCCUGGACCGGCAUUGACGCUGAGGCGCGAAAGCCAGGGGAGCAAACGGG
rnacentral:rRNA from 1 species